rnacentral:rRNA from 1 species
UGCAAGUCGAGGGGUAGAAGUCUUCGGACUUUGAGACCGGCGCACGGGUGCGUAACGCGUAUGCAAUCUACCUUUUACAGAGGGAUAGCCCAGAGAAAUUUGGAUUAAUACCUCAUAGUAUAAUGACCUGGCAUCAGGAUGUUAUUAAAGUCACAACGGUAAAAGAUGAGCAUGCGUCCCAUUAGCUAGUUGGUAAGGUAACGGCUUACCAAGGCUACGAUGGGUAGGGGUCCUGAGAGGGAGAUCCCCCACACUGGUACUGAGACACGGACCAGACUCCUACGGGAGGCAGCAGUGAGGAAUAUUGGACAAUGGGCGCAAGCCUGAUCCAGCCAUGCCGCGUGCAGGAUGACGGUCCUAUGGAUUGUAAACUGCUUUUAUACGAGAAGAAACACUCCUUCGUGAAGGAAUUUGACGGUAUCGUAAGAAUAAGGAUCGGCUAACUCCGUGCCAGCAGCCGCGGUAAUACGGAGGAUCCAAGCGUUAUCCGGAAUCAUUGGGUUUAAAGGGUCCGUAGGCGGUUUGGUAAGUCAGUGGUGAAAGCCCAUCGCUCAACGGUGGAACGGCCAUUGAUACUGCCAGACUUGAAUUAUUAGGAAGUAACUAGAAUAUGUAGUGUAGCGGUGAAAUGCUUAGAGAUUACAUGGAAUACCAAUUGCGAAGGCAGGUUACUACUAAUGGAUUGACGCUGAUGGACGAAAGCGUGGGUAGCGAACAGGAUUAGAUACCCUGGUAGUCCACGCCGUAAACGAUGGAUACUAGCUGUUGGAAGCAAUUUCAGUGGCUAAGCGAAAGUGAUAAGUAUCCCACCUGGGGAGUACGUUCGCAAGAAUGAAACUCAAAGGAAUUGACGGGGGCCCGCACAAGCGGUGGAGCAUGUGGUUUAAUUCGAUGAUACGCGAGGAACCUUACCAAGGCUUAAAUGUAGAUUGACCGAUUUGGAAACAGAUCUUUCGCAAGACAAUUUACAAGGUGCUUGCAUGGUUGUCGUCAGCUCGU